rnacentral:tRNA from 1 species
UGGGAGAGCAGAGGACUGAAAAUC